AGUAGGGAGGCGGGAAGCUAGGGGUUUCCCAUUCCGCAAAUCCCCUUCGGCGGGCCGCAUGCCAGUCGGUUGCAUUCGCGCAUGUAGGGCCUACGCCAAAGCGUCGAGGUCUUGCCUCCAGUGGCGGUCUCACGCAUGAACCGGGCCAGGCCGGAAGGAGCAACCCUAAGUGUGCGCGGCUGUGCUCUGGAGAUACAGGGCUGAGCAGAGGCGUAGCCAACCUUCCAUGCGUAAAUGUGGCUACUCUGGCUCCUGCU
rnacentral:SRP_RNA from 1 species